rnacentral:lncRNA from 1 species
GUGGGAGGGUUGGCGUGUUGGUGGGUUGGGUGGGUGGGAGGGUUGGCUUGUUGGUUGGUUGGUUGGGUUGGCUCCAUUUGGAACACAUUCUGUUCGUCACUUCUUCAGGAAGAGAAAACUGGUUUGGACUCUCAUUAUAUCCAUACUAUGAUAGAAUACUGUCUUAUGGUGACAUGUCAUAGUGAACUCUAUAGAGAGAUGAAGGCUGGAGGAAUGUGGGAUAUAAACAAAUGUACUAAUGUAUUUACCCUUUUUUUUAUAUUGAUGUAGUUCAGUCCUUGAGCUGUUCUUGUCUAUUCAUGUUCUGUAUUAUGUCAUGUUUUGUGUGGACCCCAGGAAGAGUAGCUGCUGCUAUAACAACAGCUAAUGGGGAUCCUAAUAAAAUACCAAAAACAAGUUUGUUGGACUCCCACAUAAUCAUUAUGGUUUCCCUCUUCGUCAUGACAACACUGGAACCAAUCACUACUAAUCUAUGAACCACACCAACUACUGUGUGUCUGACAUAGCACCCUAUUCCCUAUAUGGUGCACUACUUUUGACCAGUG